rnacentral:rRNA from 1 species
CGCGUAGGCGGCCUGUUAAGUCGAACGUGAAAUCCCCGGGCUCAACCCGGGAACUGCGUCCGAUACUGGCAGGCUUGAAUCCGGGAGAGGGAUGUGGAAUUCCAGGUGUAGCGGUGAAAUGCGUAGAUAUCUGGAGGAACACCGGUGGCGAAGGCGGCAUCCUGGACCGGUAUUGACGCUGAGGCGCGAAAGCCAGGGGAGCAAACGG